rnacentral:rRNA from 1 species
UUACCGGUUUGACAUGAAGGAAACUCUAUUAAGCACAGGUGCUGCAUGGCUGUCGUCAGCUCGUGUCGUGAGAUGUUGGGUUAAGUCCCGCAACGAGCGCAACCCCGCCUUAGUUGCCAUCGUAUGGGACUCUAAGGGACCGCCGGUGUUAACCGGAGGAAGGUGGGGAUGACGUCAAGUCCUCAUGGCCUUUAUACCGGGCUACACACGUACUACAAUGGGGUACAAGGGGCAUAGCGAUAGGAGCAAUCCCGAAACCGUCUCAGUCCGGAUCGGAGUCUGCAACUCGACUCCGUGAAGUUGGAAUCGCUAGUAAUCGUAAUCAGCAUGUACGGUGAAUACGUUCCCGGGCCUUGUACACACCGCCCGUCACACCACGAGAGUCGGUGUCCGAA